rnacentral:rRNA from 1 species
GACGAACGCUGGCGGCGUGCCUAAUACAUGCAAGUCGAACGCACUCUCGUUUAGAUUGAAGGAGCUUGCUCCUGAUUGAUAAACAUUUGAGUGAGUGGCGGACGGGUGAGUAACACGUGGGUAACCUGCCCUAAAGUGGGGGAUAACAUUUGGAAACAGAUGCUAAUACCGCAUAAAACCUAACACCGCAUGGUGUAGGGUUGAAAGAUGGUUUCGGCUAUCACUUUAGGAUGGACCCGCGGUGCAUUAGUUAGUUGGUGAGGUAAAGGCUCACCAAGACCGUGAUGCAUAGCCGACCUGAGAGGGUAAUCGGCCACACUGGGACUGAGACACGGCCCAGACUCCUACGGGAGGCAGCAGUAGGGAAUCUUCCACAAUGGACGAAAGUCUGAUGGAGCAACGCCGCGUGAGUGAAGAAGGUUUUCGGAUCGUAAAACUCUGUUGUUGGAGAAGAAUGUAUCUGAUAGUAACUGAUCAGGUAGUGACGGUAUCCAACC